rnacentral:rRNA from 1 species
CGGACGGGUGAGUAACGCGUGGAUAACCUGCCUCACACUGGGGGAUAACAGUUAGAAAUGACUGCUAAUACCGCAUAAGCGCACGGUACCGCAUGGUACAGUGUGAAAAACUCCGGUGGUGUGAGAUGGAUCCGCGUCUGAUUAGCCAGUUGGCGGGGUAACGGCCCACCAAAGCGACGAUCAGUAGCCGACCUGAGAGGGUGACCGGCCACAUUGGGACUGAGACACGGCCCAA